rnacentral:rRNA from 1 species
UACGGGGGGGGCAAGCGUUGUUCGGAAUUACUGGGCGUAAAGGGCUCGUAGGUGGCCAACUAAGUCAGACGUGAAAUCCCCAGGCUCAACUUGGGAACUGCGUCUGAUACUGGAUGGCUUGAAUUCGGGAGAGGGAUGCAGAAUUCCAGGUGUAGCGGUGAAAUGCGUAGAUAUCUGGAGGAACACCGGUGGCGAAGGCGGCGUUCUGGACUGUAACUGACACUGAUGAACGAAAGCCAGGGGAGCAAACGGG